CCUACGGGUGGCAGCAGUGGGGAAUAUUGCACAAUGGGGGAAACCCUGAUGCAGCGACGCCGCGUGAGCGAUGAAGUAUUUCGGUAUGUAAAGCUCUAUCAGCAGGGAAGAAAAUGACGGUACCUGACUAAGAAGCCCCGGCUAACUACGUGCCAGCAGCCGCGGUAAGACGUAGGGGGCAAGCGUUAUCCGGAUGUACGCGGUGUAACGGGAGCGUAGACGGCGAUGCAAGCCAGAUGUGAAAGCCCGGGGCUCAACCCCGGGACUGCAUUUGUAACUGUAUAGCGGGAGUGUCGGAGAGGCAGGCGGAAUUCCUAGUGUAGCGGUGAAAGGCGUAGAUAUUAGGAGGAACACCAGUGGCGAAGGCGGCCUGCUGGACGAUGACUGACGUUGAGGCUCGAAAGCGUGGGGAGCAAACACGAUUAGAUACCCGGGUAGUC
rnacentral:rRNA from 1 species